rnacentral:lncRNA from 1 species
GAGUUGUUGAAGAGAAGACAUGUUAUUCACUACUUAUUAUCUGUUAAGAAAACUGUGAAAAGCUUAAAGGCCCAGUUAAAGUGGAAGCUGUUUGAAAAGAGCAAAUUUUAUGGUGUUGGAAUUUUUGUCCGUAUUGUUCAGAUGGUUUAAGAAACAUUAAUUUUGUCUAUUCCAAGUAAGAGGCGAUGAUGUAAAACAGUUUGUGUCUUCUGAAUUAAAUUUUGCCUUUAAAUGUGGAAGCUUUACAGGCCCCUGAGACCAAGCUUGAAUGGUUUAAAAAACAAAACAACCCUCCACUAACCAACCACAAAGGAAAAAAAAAGUACACAGACUUUUCUGUUUCAGUCUCUAGCCAUCAUGUUGUGCUGUGCUUUUAACCAAUUCCCUCUGGUGACAGGUGCUGUUCACAGCAUGAACAGUUUUUGUCCAACUCCUUCUAUUGUGCUGGUUGCUUUUAACUUUGUUGAUAAUGUGUGUGUCUUCUCCUUGCUGACAGAAGUCAGAGUCUGUUCCAGCUUUCAGGAUUCCCUGCUAUUCCUCAGAGAGCUUCAAAGAAGCUUUGCAUUCAAAAUGAGGAAUUUGUCAUAAAAAGAAGAUGGAACACAUGAGGCAGAGGUUGUCAUGGAUGAUAAAGUUAAACCUCUUCUCCUGAAUUUGUUCUGCUGUAGCAGACUGAUGCUGAGCAGGCGCUGAGGAAUGAUUGCCUCCUCACAGCUGAUGUGAUUCCAGUUUCACUGCACCCAGGUGAAGAGUAGGAGCUGCAUAAAAAACAAAAUUCUGAGACAACAGAUUGAAAAAAAGUGAUUAACUGAGGAGAAUGGAGCAAACCCUACUCAAUAGAUGAAAGCUUUUCCAUCAGGUGUUUGAGACUUCUGUUUUGAAAUAAUUGACCUGGUCUGAAAUAUCAAAGUAUAAAAGGUUUGGUAGGUGUAUUAAUUUUUUGAGAUUAUACAGGCUUCACUAUGUUUUCUUUUCAGUAUAUUUUAUUCUAAUUAAGUAUUUGGAGUUGUAAUUGUGAUUUUACUGGUUGCAUUCUUGGUUUGCCAGCCUUUUUCUUUACCCAUAUGUAGAUUUUACAUUUACAGAGACCAGGGCUGUUAGAUGCCAGAGAUUUUUAAGAGGAAACUUGAGUGAGUUGGUUUUUUGAGUUUUCUCUCCUUCAUGCUCUAAAUCCAGAUAACAUAUUCCUCUUAAAGAUGUUCUAGUAUAUUACUUUUUUGCUAAAGAUUUGUUUUAAUUGCAUAGAUCAGUUGUUCUUACAGUAACUGCCUCCAGGAUUUAAGUAAACACCUUAAUAUAUUGCUUUGGAAACUGGUAAAAGAAAUGGUGAGCACCCUUCCUCUUUUCUUUUUGCCUUUGAAAUAUGCAAUUGGCUUUCUAGAGAGCAGCCAUCCUUCUAGUUACUUCUUUGCUGUGCUGCUGCCAACCAAAAUAUUCUACACACACCUUUGCAAAACCUAUUGUUUACUUGCUCUGUGUGCAUGUAUCACCUGCUAUAAAAUAUAUUUUUUUGCAGUAGCUAUGAGGGUGUGAUUUUCAUGAGUGGGUUUGUUUGGUUGCAACACUUGACUGUUGAUAUUUCUGUUGAAAAAUUCUGUCAGCUCUUUAUCUGUACAGGAAAUUAUUAUUUAUCUUUAGGAAGGUUUUCUUUCUUCUCAGGAAGGAGCGGGUCAGAGUGUGCAGCGUUGCUGUAGCAGUAUAUUUAGCCUCUGGGUGUUGCUCUUGGACAGCACUGUUGGCAGACUGCUAUUUUGCAGACUUACUGAAGCUGAUGGUAUUGGAUGAAGAAUGUCAAAAUGCAGCAUGUAACAGGCAAGCAGCAGCACCAGGGGAACUGGGGAGCCCCCAGGUACAAUAAUACAGUCCACAGCAGGUAGAAGAUACCCUUGCAGACUCAUGUUUGACAUUAUUCUUGGUUUUUUAUCCUUAAACCAAAAUUAGAUUUUUUUUUUUAAGUGGAAUAGGGUGUAAGAUGCUCAUCCUCUUUUCACUGUAUGAUGCUGAUUUUUUGAUUUCUGUAAAGUGUACCUAACCAAAGACAGUAAAAUACUGGAAGUAUUUUUAUGACAUACAAAGUAUUUUUAUGUAGAAUUUUUGGGUAAUGUGAUAAAUAUUUUCAUUACAGAAAUCACAGAAGAAUAAUAGCUUGUCAAUUUUGUCAAUAAACAUUUAAGAAGUUUUGUGGAAUGCUUUCCA